rnacentral:lncRNA from 1 species
AAUGUAUCAUGGAGAUGAAUGGAGUGAUAGGGAGAAUAACCAAAGUCAAAGAAUUGAGGUUUUUGGUGAAAGUGACUGAACAGUAUAAUUAGGAACCAAAGGUAAGGGUAUAUUGGAAUCCAUAGGGGUAACUAGUAUUUGCAACCCAAGAGUAAAGAGAGAAAGUCAGAGCAUUCGUAGUUCGUGAAACCACGAGAAAGAAGAGAAGAGAUAAGGAAGUGUUUGCCUAAGCAACUUGGACUAACAAGACAAACAACUUCAAGGGUAU